AGGCGUCGAGCGGCGGACGGGUGAGUAAUGCAUAGGAAUCUGCCCGGUAGUGGGGGAUAACUUGAGGAAACUCAAGCUAAUACCGCAUACGCCCUACGGGGGAAAGCAGGGGCUCUUCGGACCUUGCGCUAUCGGAUGAGCUUAUGUCGGAUUAGCUGGUUGGUGAGGUAACGGCUCACCAAGGCGACGAUCCGUAGCUUGGUCUGAGAGGAUGAUCAGCCACAUCGGGACUGAGACACGGCCCGAACUCCUACGGGAGGCAGCAGUGGGGAAUAUUGGACAAUGGGGGCAACCCUGAUCCAGCCAUGCCGCGUGUGUGAAGAAGGCCCUCGGGUUGUAAAGCACUUUCAGCGAGGAAGAAUGCUUGUCGGUUAAUACCCGGCAAGGGAGACAUCACUCGCAGAAGAAGCACCGGCUAACUCCGUGCCAGCAGCCGCGGUAAUACGGAGGGUGCGAGCGUUAAUCGGAAUUACUGGGCGUAAAGCGUGCGUAGGCGGCUUGAUAAGCCGGUUGUGAAAGCCCCGGGCUCAACCUGGGAACGGCAUCCGGAACUGUUAGGCUAGAGUGCAGGAGAGGAAGGUAGAAUUCCCGGUGUAGCGGUGAAAUGCGUAGAGAUCGGGAGGAAUACCAGUGGCGAAGGCGGCCUUCUGGACUGACACUGACGCUGAGGUACGAAAGCGUGGGUAGCAAACAGGAUUAGAUACCCUGGUAGUCCACGCCGUAAACGAUGUCGACUAGCCGUUGGGGUCCUCGAGACCUUUGUGGCGCAGUUAACGCACUAAGUCGACCGCCUGGGGAGUACGGCCGCAAGGUUAAAACUCAAAUGAAUUGACGGGGGCCCGCACAAGCGGUGGAGCAUGUGGUUUAAUUCGAUGCAACGCGAAGAACCUUACCUACCCUUGACAUCGUGCGAACUUUCCAGAGAUGGAUGGGUGCCUUCGGGAGCGCACAGACAGGUGCUGCAUGGCUGUCGUCAGCUCGUGUUGUGAAAUGUUGGGUUAAGUCCCGUAACGAGCGCAACCCUUGUCCCUAUUUGCCAGCGAUUCGGUCGGGAACUCUAGGGAGACUGCCGGUGACAAACCGGAGGAAGGUGGGGACGACGUCAAGUCAUCAUGGCCCUUACGGGUAGGGCUACACACGUGCUACAAUGGCCGGUACAAUGGGUUGCAAAGCGGCGACGUGGAGCUAAUCUCAUAAAGCCGGUCUCAGUCCGGAUCGGAGUCUGCAACUCGACUCCGUGAAGUCGGAAUC
rnacentral:rRNA from 1 species